AAAGAAAACACGUGCACUUCGAGUAAAUUCAUUUUCCAACGAAAAAAAGUCCAAAUCUUCGUCUCGGUAUCUCACCUGAGCUGCAUCUCAAAUUCCUCCAAUGGCGAAACCGGUUGCAACCGCCGCGUCAUCCCUCUCCCAAACCCUAAAGCGCUACCUCAAGAAACCGUGGGAGAUAACCGGUCCGUGCGCGGAUCCGGAGUACAAAUUGGCCGUACCCGGCGCGCUCGAGUACCGGCUCGAGUGCCCUGCCACCACCAAGGUCCAGGCGUGCGUGCCCACCUCCAACCCGGAAACCGUUUACGAUAUCAAGUAUUUCGCCCGCGACCAGCGGCGCAACCGGCCCCCGAUCAAGCGCACCGUAUUGAAGAAGGCCGAUGUGGAGAAGCUGAUGAAGGAGAAGACGACCUUCGACGUCUCGGAAUUUCCGCCGGUUUACUUGACCGAUUUCGUUGAAGAGGAUUACAAUGCUCAGGGUGGAGGCUACCAGAAAUGAAUUGGGCUUACGGGAUUCUGGAAAAAAUAUCUGUGUUAUUUUAUUCCUCUCCUUGAACUGAAGAGAUGCUGUUCAUGUUAGCAUGGAUGUUUGUCUAGUCUCCACACGUAAUGAAAUGAUGUGCUUGACAUGAAUAAGGGUACUUGAUAAAACCAUUUUUUCCGAUUUUGUUUGGCCAAGAAUGCAUCUGUAUAAAAUCCAAAUGCAACUGCAAUUGGGUGAUGGAUUACAUUUUCGCUCGUUUCUUUAACUUCUAAGAUUUCUACCUGCGAUAAUUUUGCGAUAUCUUGUCUGUCAUUGUGAUUUUCUUUCCCUGAUUGCAACCAUAUGAAGACUUAGGUUGAGGAUUUAGAACGAAUAUUAGCAAGCUUCUCUUAUCUAUAUUGUUAAUUUGUUAUAGCCUAGAAAGGAUGAUCAUGACCCUCCCUGUUUAUAAUUGUCAGUGUAGCAUACUCUACGCUGAUGAAUAAGGUUAUUAGAGUUAAAUGCCUUAAACCUAA
rnacentral:sRNA from 1 species